rnacentral:rRNA from 1 species
GCUCAGAUUGAACGCUGGCGGCAGGCCUAACACAUGCAAGUCGAGCGGGAACUUCGGUUCUAGCGGCGGACGGGUGAGUAAUGCGUAGGAAGCUACCCGAUAGAGGGGGAUACCAGUUGGAAACGACUGUUAAUACCGCAUAAUGUCUACGGACCAAAGUGUGGGACCUUCGGGCCACAUGCUAUCGGAUGCGCCUACGUGGGAUUAGCUAGUUGGUGAGGUAAUGGCUCACCAAGGCGACGAUCCCUAGCUGGUUUGAGAGGAUGAUCAGCCACACUGGAACUGAGACACGGUCCAGACUCCUACGGGAGGCAGCAGUGGGGAAUAUUGGACAAUGGGCGAAAGCCUGAUCCAGCCAUGCCGCGUGUGUGAAGAAGGCCUUCGGGUUGUAAAGCACUUUCAGCGAGGAGGAAGGGGUUGUAGUUAAUAGCUGCAACCU